rnacentral:rRNA from 1 species
AGUGAACGCUGGCGGUAGGCCUAACACAUGCAAGUAGAACGGCAGCACAGUAAGAGCUUGCACUUACGGGUGGCGAGUGGCGGACGGGUGAGGAAUACAUCGGAAUCUACUUUUUCGUGGGGGAUAACGUAGGGAAACUUACGCUAAUACCGCAUACGACCUACGGGUGAAAGCAGGGGAUCUUCGGACCUUGCGCGAUUGAAUGAGCCGAUGUCGGAUUAGCUAGUUGGCGGGGUAAAGGCCCACCAAGGCGACGAUCCGUAGCUGGACUGAGAGGAUGAUCAGCCACACUGGAACUGAGACACGGUCCAGACUCCUACGGGAGGCAGCAGUGGGGAAUAUUGGACAAUGGGCGCAAGCCUGAUCCAGCCAUACCGCGUGGGUGAAGAAGGCCUUCGGGUUGUAAAGCCCUUUUGUUGGGAAAGAAAAGCAGCAGGUUAAUACCCCGCUGUUCUGACGGUACCCAAAGAAUAAGCACCGGCUAACUUCGUG